UAAGAGUGAUAAAGACUGAAAAAUCUCCAGAUGUAGUUGAUGGAAGUCCAAAAUGUUAUAUAAGAUAAGAAAAUAUGUUACAUGAUUUUUGGAAAUUAUGUGUGUGUGUGUGUGUGUGUGUGUGUGUGUGUGUGUGAAAAGUGAUGGAGCCUCUCCCCCAAUGAGCAGUACCCACCCCCUCAUCACUUAU